rnacentral:misc_RNA from 1 species
CUAUGCUGCACAGCUUGGACGAAGGUGUCUAUCAUCCUAUUACGCGUGAGUUCACUGGAAUAGGUGCGCAAGAAGGUUCAACGCAUCACACUCAAGUUGGCCGCUCUGCCUCCUCUCAUUCGAUUUCUUUCCGCCAUUUUAUUCCGGGUUUUGCUGACGUUCACUUGCCGCACACCGACCUGUGGACGCACACGCACACACGAACACAUAUACACACACGCUCUCACGCCUAAACCCGCAAAAUGGCCAGCGAAGACAUCAUUAUCUUCCUCGACGCUCUCGAGAACACCGUCAACUCGAUUCGCGGUGACGGGUCGGCGAAGAAGACGCUCUUCACCACCGGCUGCGUAUGCCCGGACGGUGUCGGACUCGAUCUCAGCGCGUACAAGGAUUCGAAGAACCCUGAUGACAUUGUUGCGUGGUGGGGCAACAUGGGGGCUAUGAAGCCGUGCCCGGGGCAGAAAGACGGGGCAGACUGGCACGAUGCUGACGGCUUCCUUGUGCGUGCCCCGCUCUUUGGCGGCGAUGCGGCAGUGAAGCGGGUGGAGAUGACGGCGCCACGGAGCCUCAUCCGUGGCACGGCGGCGUUCCAGGCCCCAGGCUACCCUCCACUCGUCACCACCGUGAAGCAGGUGGCGCUCUCCAGAAACGGACGCGCCGUCUUCUUCUGCGACCGGGAAGGGCACGGUGUGAAGAAGUAUAACGUGGACACGAAGGAGGUGGUGCCGCUCUUGUCCUCGGACGUGCUGGCGGCCCUCGCCGACGGACUCACGGAGGAGGAGGCUCGUGCCUCACUUGUGGAGCCGAACAGCGACGAAGACAAGUGCCGCUUCUGCGUCGGUAUUACGCUGGACGAGAAGCACAACCAGAUCUUCUUUACCCUGAAGGGGCCGUCCAAGGGUGGCAAGGGCCGCAUUCUCGCGGCCCCGUACUACUUCCAGCGCCGUCACCUAGCAUCCAUCACAGCCGCGAACACGUCCACUUCUGAAGGCGUGAUCGACCCGAAGACGGUUGUGACGCUGCUCGACCACCUGCCGGAGCCCAUCGAUCUGCUUCUGGACUCGGAGGAAAACUAUCUGUACUGGACAGACCGCGGUGAUGACGCGGCGGGCGGCAACUCACUGAACCGUGCUCCCGUCACCUAUGACCCCUGUUCCGGGCAACCGCAGCUUGGGGAGAGGGAGCUGCUGAUCCGCGGCUUCAACGAGGCGAUCGGACUGGCGUGGGCGGCAAACCUUGUGGAUUGCAUGCGACUGCCCGAGAACAAGGAAACCCUGCGCCAGUACAUGUACGUCACGGACAUGAGACACCUCUGGCGCUGCGAUUUGAAGGCGAGAACGAAGGAGGUGGUCUACAAGUGCGGCCCCCGCAACGUGCUGACCGGCGUUGAGGUGCUGCGUUUCUUUUGAGAGGCGACGAGGAGGAGGGACUCUGAGCGACGGCGUGCAGAGUGGGAGGUGCAGGGAAAAGACCACUCUCCGCGCUUAAGCGUCAGCAAGAUUUCUCUUUAGUGUCUCGGCAGUUUCCAGGCUCGUAGUCCUCUACGUAGGAUUGAUCUGCCUGUGUCAAGCCUAUUGGCAGCUUCUUGACAUAUGAAGGGCUCCUCUUUCCGUUUUUCUACGGACGCCUCCCUCCCACCUCUUUCCUCUGUACAUGCCGACCGUUGCGCUGUCAG